ACUUCAUUUAUUACAAAGCCUCGUAUAUUUUGCCCGGUCGUUACCCUCUUCCGCUACUCUUUCUCUCGCUCUUGCGUUUGCCUUGUUUGGUUGCCCGGAAAAAUGUAUGAAACAGAGAAAAGAGAGAUUAGGCUUCCGUAUCUGCGUGGUUUCAUUAGAUUUAAAAGUUCGGUAUCUUUUAUUGUUAACAGUUCCCCUGACAACAAAAGCAGUCCAGAGAGAUUCAUUUGAUACGCAUGCAUGUUCAUUUUCGGUACGGUACAGAAAAUUCCUCGGCAUUUGCUUACGUGCGCCAGUCAACAAAUAAGGAAAUAGCGAAAACGAUGAUUACGAGAACGAUUACUCUGUCUCGGGGGAUAUCGACUACGACCCAUCUCUCUCAGAGAAUUAAGCAAACAGAAAAUGAGAUUGUCCAAAUGUUCCGGUUAACGAGUCCAAAAGAUGAUGCCCAAUACUUGCCCGUGAAUCGAAAGCCAAUGAGACAGCCCCCAUCAGUUAGAACCUUGGAUGAGAGAUUCAUUCGGAUUUUGAAAAUAUUCAAGUGGGGACCUGAUGCCGAAAAGGCUUUGGAUGUGCUGAAGUUGAAAGUGGAUCACCGAUUGGUUCGUGAGGUUUUGAAGGUAGAUGUUGAGAUCAAUGUGAAGACCCAGUUUUUUAAGUGGGCUGGGAAGAGAAGGAACUUUGAGCAUGAUUCCUCCACCUAUAUGGCUUUAAUCCGUUGCUUGAGUGAAGCUGGGUUUGUUGGUGAAAUGUGGAAGACGAUCCAAGACAUGGUUCGAGGUCCUUGCCUGAUUGGCCUGGCUGAAUUAUCUGAAGUUGUGAAAAUUUUGGGAAAAUCUAAAAUGGUAAACAAGGCACUUUCAAUCUUUUACCAGGCCAAAGGCCGUAAAUGCAAACCAACAGCGAACACGUAUAACUCGAUGAUCUUAAUGCUGAUGCAAGAAGGACAUCUUGAAAAAGUCCACGAACUCUACAAUGAGAUGUGUAAUGAGGGUAGCUGUUUCCCGGACACUGUAACAUAUAGUGCACUUAUUGCUGCAUUUGCGAAAUUGGGUCGUGAUAAUUCUGCUAUUAGGCUGUUUGAUGAAAUGAAGGAGAAUGGAUUUCAUCCUACGGCAAAGAUUUAUACAACUUUGUUGGGCAUAUAUUUUAAGCUGGGCAGGGUUGAGAAAGCUUUGGAUUUGAUCCUAGAGAUGAGAGUGAAAGGUUGUGCUCUAACUGUCUUUACUUACACAGAGUUGAUAAAGGGGCUUGGUAAAGCUGGGAGGGUUGAGGAGGCUUAUGCUACAUUCCUAAAUCUGUUAAAAGAGGGUUGCAAGCCUGAUAUUGUGCUUAUAAACAAUUUAAUAAACAUAUUAGGCAAAGCAGGUCGAUUGGAAGAUGCUGUGAAGCUGUUUAAUGAAUUGGAGUCUUUUCAGUGCACACCGAAUGUUGUGACAUACAACACUGUAAUCAAAGCUUUAUUUGAAUCGAAAGUUCCAGUGUCAGAGAUCACUUUGUGGUUUGAGAAGAUGAAGGAAAAUGGUGUUGUUCCUAGCUCCUUCACUUACUCAAUUCUUAUUGAUGGUUUUUGUAAGACAAACAGAGUUGAGAAAGCUUUACUGUUGCUUGAGGAGAUGGAUGAAAAGGGUUUUCCUCCUUGCCCAGCUGCUUAUUGUAGCCUGAUCAACGCACUUGGAAAAGCAAAACGAUAUGAGGCUGCAAAUGAGUUAUUUCAAGAACUGAAAGAGAACUGUGGAUAUUCAAGUGCUCGUGUCUAUGCUGUGAUGAUCAAACACUUCGGAAAAUGUGGGCGUCUCUCUGAGGCUACAGAUCUCUUUAAUGAGAUGAAGAAACUUGGGUGCAGUCCUGAUGUUUAUGCCUAUAAUGCACUCAUGUCAGGGAUGGUAAGGGUAGGCAUGAUAGAUGAAGCUUUUUCCUUGCUUCGAACCAUGGAAGAAAAUGGUUGCGUUCCUGACAUAAACUCUCAUAAUAUAAUUCUAAAUGGCUUGGCUAGAACUGGUGGUCCAGAACGGGCAAUGGGGAUGUUUGACAAGAUGAAGCAUUCCAAUAUUAAGCCAGAUGCAGUUUCUUACAAUACUCUUCUUGGAUGUCUUAGCCGUGCUGGUAUGUUUGAGGAGGCUGCAAAGCUGAUGAAAGAAAUGAGUUCAAAUGGGUUUGAAUACGAUCUCAUUACUUACUCGUCUAUACUUGAAGCAGUAGGCAAGGUCAAUGAAGACAGCUCAUAUAUAACUUCAUGAAAGGAAAUGGCUUCCCCCAAUAAUCCCACAAUGGUCUUUGAGCUCCUUCCCUAUUUGCUUUAGAUCAUUUCUUGAGCUUCAGCUUUGACUUGAGCUCUAGAAUGAAACCUGGAGUUAUAUGAAAUGGAUUUUUGGAAGCUUCUCUGAUAGGCCUGUGAUGGAUUUAUGUGAGAUCUGUUUUCAGCUUCAAAUCAAAGCCAUAUUCUUUGGUUUGUGAAGGAUUCUAGGUUUGCCUAUCCGUGGCAUUUAGUUUUGGUAGAUUCAUUUGGCUUCUUGGCAAGUUUUGGCAAUGAUUUGCCGAGGGAAAAGGAAACUAUAUCAAUAGGAGGAUGAAAAUGUUACUGGAGAGCAAGGUGCUACUAAUGCCUGAACGCGAGGAUAGUGUAUCCAUUGAAGCCAUCAAGAAAGGAUGGAGCUAGUUGGUAUAGAAAGAAGAAGUGUAAAGAGGAAAGUGCCAGAGACCAUAUUGAGAAGAGUAUCAAAGAGAUUUGUGAGGUCUUUCACAGCACCCAAUGGUCGAAAUUUUACAUGGGGAGAUAGCAUCAAUCAACUUAAUAAGAUGGAAUAUUUGGUUCUUGAAGGAGGUGACAGAUACAUGCACACUUUCAUACUUUUUCAUGAUUGAAUGUAUCGAGAGAGACGUGGAUACUCCUUCAUGGAGCCUGACCAGGACAUGAUUAGUUGCAAUCAUGAGAUCUUAUCAAACCGCCACCUGUUGUAAUUGAUAUUUCAUUUCUAGCAAACAUCAUUAUUCAUAAUAAUGUUAAUGUAAUUGAAUUCUAAGGAUUUCAAAAUAUUUUAUAGUAAAUUAUAAUUGCUGUUC